rnacentral:rRNA from 1 species
GAUGAACGCUGGCGGCGUGCCUAAUACAUGCAAGUCGAGCGAAUGGAUUAAGAGCUUGCUCUUAUGAAGUUAGCGGCGGACGGGUGAGUAACACGUGGGUAGCCUGCCCAUAAGACUGGGAUAACUCCGGGAAACCGGGGCUAAUACCGGAUAACAUUUUGAACCGCAUGGUUCGAAAUUGAAAGGCGGCUUCGGCUGUCACUUAUGGAUGGACCCGCGUCGCAUUAGCUAGUUGGUGAGGUAACGGCUCACCAAGGCAACGAUGCGUAGCCGACCUGGGAGGGUGAUCGGCCACACUGGGACUGAGACACGGCCCAGACUCCUACGGGAGGCAGCAGGAGGGAAUCUUCCGCAAUGGACGAAAGUCUGACGGAGCAACGCCGCGUGAGUGAUGAAGGCUUUCGGGUCGUAAAACUCUGUUGUUAGGGAAGAACAAGUGCUAGUUGAAUAAGCUGGCACCUUGACGGUACCUAACCAGAAAGCCACGGCUAACUACGUGCCAGCAGCCGCAGUAA